rnacentral:lncRNA from 1 species
CAUUUUUGUAAAGUUCAUAUGCUAAUUUUUUUGGUGGUAUUUUGGUUUUUAGUAUUUAUAUAGUAGAAAUGUUACUACUAAAAGAUUUAUAGACAAAGCAUAGAACUAUUAUUCAAAAGCCUAAAUGAUAGGCAUGUUUUGUAUUUAAUGUUGUACUUGUUUUGUUUCAUAUUGGACUUUUUACAUCCCUUCUUUUAGGGAAAAAAACCACAUUUGAAUUUUUUUUAGCAUAAAGCUCUGCAUUGAAAAUAGAACUGUAUUCAUAUGGUUAGCAAAACACACUUUGCCACCAAAGCUAAAUGAAAUUUUAAAAUACCUCCAGAUAUCCGUGCCAAUGAACUU